GUUGAUAUAUCAUGUCUAUUUAGAGGUAUCACAAGAUCCCAUUACAAGCAAAAAUCAAGCUUUCAAGACAUUAUGGGAUAAAAUAACAAAAAGCUAUAAUGCAAAAAAAAAGAUGGGAAGUUAGGAGCAAAAGAUCUUUAAAAUAGAAUUGAUACUAUUUUAUAUGUUGUUAGAAACUUGAAGAGUUAUUAUAUCCAAGUGCAAAAUAUGAAUCCAAGUGGUGCAUCCGAACAAGACAUUGUAAGUUUAAAUUAAAUUAAUAUGUGUUAUUUGUUUAUUUAUUUUAUUGUUAAUAUAUUUAAUCAAGUUUUUUGGUUCCAAA
rnacentral:lncRNA from 1 species